rnacentral:rRNA from 1 species
CAGCACUAAGUGGGUGGUAAACUCCAUCUAAAACUAAAUAUAACCAUGAGACCGAUAGCAAACAAGUACCGUGAGGGAAAGUUGAAAAGAACUCUGAAUAGAGAGUUAAAUAGUACGUGAAACUGCUUAGAGGUUAAGCCCGAUGAACCUGAAUAUCCGUUGUAGAAAAUUCAUCAUCAAUUGUGUGAUAUUCUUUUGAAUAUCGUAUCAAUGGUGUGCACUUUUUCUACUUAAGGACAUUGUAAUCCGUUAAUGUUUGAAUGCGUAUUAUAAGAACAUUUACAAUAGUUUUUACAUUAUUUAACUUGUUGAAUAUGUUUAAAUGUGGAUGCUUCGAAUAUGCCAUUGACGGAUUUUUACGUAUAUUGCACUUAAAUCUUCGGAUUUUAUAAUAAUAUGAUUAUCAUUGAUUUUUGUAUUCAUUAUAUGUGCAUAUAUGAUUGACAAUGCGAAAGAUUCAGGAUACCUUCGGGACCC